UACGAAGGGGGCUAGCGUUGCUCGGAAUCACUAGGCGUAAAGCGCACGUAGGCGGCUUUUUAAGUCAGGGGUGAAAUCCUGGAGCUCAACUCCAGAACUGCCUUUGAUACUGGAAAGCUUGAGUCCGGAAGAGGUGAGUGGAACUCCGAGUGUAGAGGUGAAAUUCGUAGAUAUUCGGAAGAACACCAGUGGCGAAGGCGGCUCACUGGUCCGGUACUGACGCUGAGGUGCGAAAGCGUGGGGAGCAAACAGG
rnacentral:rRNA from 1 species